GCCCACGCCCGGCCGCCCGCCCGUCCUCUGCGCCGGGGACAAGUCCUUCCACCGAGGCCGGGUCCCCGCGCCUUCCCUAGCGCCCUGCCUCUCUUUGGCCGCGCUCGCAGGACCGCCUGUAGGAGAGUGAAGCCCCAGGGUUUCCUUGCUGAUGGAGUCCCCCACCUUCCCCAGCCUUCCUGUUCCCGGGCUGGUUACGGCGGCGAAGGGAGACCUUGCCUCUCCCCAGCCUUGGAAGCAGAGGGCUGGAGGUGGCCUUAUGUCCACUGCCUGCGACUCUGGACUUGAAGGGAAGAAGUAAUCGAUCAUGAUGACCGUGAAAGAAACACGUCUCCCUUCAUCCCAGGACCCCUGGUGGACACUGGGUGGUUUAGCAUCCGGACUAUGGAGAUGCUUUGGAGGUGUUGGCAGGACUACGGUUGAGCCCUUAUUUGAUAUUUACCGAUUGAGAAAGAACCAAGAUUAAGAGGCCUGGAACUCAUCAGGGGUAUUUUAUUUAUCCUGCCUUUUCCUCAUUUCCUCUCCUGCUGUCAUGCUUGUUUAUUGAGCACCUACUGUUUAUGGGAAGAAAAGAUAAUAGACAAGAUACUUGACCUCAAACCCAUGAAAAUUUAAUAGUUACAUGUCAUCAUCCUCGGGCCAGCAGCGGUAUGUGUUCUGGUCUUGCUUCCUGGACCACCCAGAAGAGACUUUAUAGCCCCAGCCAUCAGGGGUAUAGUGUGUGCCCAGUGUGUUUUCUAUCCCUGGCUUCCAAAAAGUCCUGGAAGAAAGAAUAGGUGUGACCAGAAAGUCCUUCACCUCCGGAAUCUAAGUGGAUAUGGGAGAAAUGUGGACAUGAGAGGGGCACAGAGGAAGACUACCUGAAGACACACAGAGAGAAGGUGACCACGUGGUUGGAGUGGAGCAUCUACAAACCAACACACAUACCAAGGAUUGCUGGCAAGUAUCACCAGAAGCUAGAAGAGGCAAGAAAGGAUUCUCCCCAAAGCUGUCAGCAAAAACACAGCACUGAUGGUAUAAAGGAGUACAGACGAGGUCAAAAUUCUAAAAUUGGAAUCUUGCCAUUAACAAACAGAACUGACAUUCUGAUACUUCUAUCUGCUGUGGACGUGACACAGAGACUUACCAAAGCCAAGAUACAUUUAUUCAAGGAGGAGCAACUUGCCUUUAUACUUAUACCUUUGUUAAUAACUUGUUUAAAGCAAUCCUUUGUUUUCUUUGCAUAUUUGAAUUGAUUUGCUAAAAGUUAUCUACUGUUAAAUAAGCAAAACUCAAAAUUUUCAAGCAUAUGGGACUUGUUCAGAAUCAGUUUUUAGUUUCUUUUUCAGGAUUUUGUACAAGUUGCAAGAGAAGAGACACAAAAUUAUCUUAUUAAUUCUAUUGCAAUAUGGAGAUACAUUUUAAACAAAUGGAAAUAAUCAAUAUUAGUAUUAUCUGUAUAUUUGUGUGUGUGUGUGUUGAUCUGACUAUAUUUUUCUUCAAAGGGAAAUCACAAAGGCCAAGUGUGUUUAUCAGGUAACUCACCUUAAGAAAACUUGUACUAUGUGAAAAGUCAAUUUCUUUAAAAACUGUCACCAACUCAACCCUGGUUUGUAAGUAGAAAAAACUAUCAAUUAUUUUUUAACAAUAGUAAUACUCCCAAGGUAUAUACUUCUGCCACAAAAAAUUAAGAAUAGUUUACUUAGCACGUUUUGUCAUUGUGGAAAUCAUUGAGAAAAAUCACAGUGGAAAGUUAUUUGAAAAGGCAUAACUGUCAUUAGAAAGAAAUUAAGAAUAAAGAAGGCAGGCCUGGCGUGGUGGCUCAUGCCUGUAAUCCCAGCACUUUGGGAGGCUGAGGUGGGUGGAUCUCCUGAGGUCGGGAGUUCAAGACCAGCCUGACUAACAUGGAGAAACCCCAUCUCUACUAAAAAUACAAAAUUAGCCGGGGUGGUGGCACAUGCCUGUAAUCCCAGCUACUCGGGAGGCUGAGGCAGGAGAAUUGCUUGAACCCAGGAGAUGGAGGUUGCGGUGAGCUGAGAUGGUGCCAUUGCACUCCAGCCUGGGCAAAAAGAGUGAAACUCCACCUAAAAAAAAAAUAAAAAUAAUAAAAAAAUAAAGCAGUAAAAACAAAAUGUUUGCAUGUGUCAUUAUCUUUGUAUUGGUCGUCUAUUUUGUAAACUUUCAUCAUUACUUUAAGCAUUUCAGGCCACUUCUUCAGUCAUUAUUGUUGAUUAUCAUUUAGUCCUCCAAUUCCAUCAGAGUGUGCUAAGGUAGUAAAAUGAAAUUAGGCACAAUGCAUGGCAGAAGGUAUAGCAAUUUGAAAUGUCUUCCAAAAUCAAUUAGAUAUUACUUUGGGUUAGCAGUGGAGGUGGGAACAUAGUUACAGGUAAUUGAGAAUUGGCUGUGAAUAUGGGCUCAUACAUUGUGUUUUUGAACAUGUUGAUAUAAUUCUGUGAAAUGAGAGAAAUGGCCUCAAAUCACCUGGCUGCUUCUGCUUUAUUUUAUGGUUAGAUAUUCAACUGCCAUCACAGACUACAAUAGAGGAAAGCUGCUAUUAUUUAUCAAAGACUAGACCUGCUAGCUGAAGUGCAGUUCACCAUUCACUUGGGUGGUGGUAUGGCUCACCUCCAAAACACUGCUCAUGAGUUGACCUUAUUAUUUUUAUCUGCAUGUCUUGACCUAUAGCGGGCUUAAAAUGUCAUUAUCAACCUAAUGGAAAUACAGAUUUUUCAUUUUUUUCCCUUUCUCUGCCUUCUCUUUUUUCUUUUCUUUUCUUUUUU
rnacentral:lncRNA from 1 species